UUUAAAAAAGAUCAUAGGUUAACUCAUAAUAACAUAUUUUUAACUACCACUUAAACUGGAAUCUCUUGAGGCGACUGCUUCGUUCACUAUCUUUGCAUCCUGAUCAAUAAAGAUUGCGGCACUUUCAUUGGAAGCAGAAGAAUGGCUGAAAUUACGUCUUGUCUUUCUAGUAUUCAAGGCAUACGACGAUCUGAUCAAUGAGGUGGGCACAUUUUCAAGAGUAAAUUCAGAUUCAGCGGGAAUUUCUGAAGGUUGCAGCUCCUCAAACGAAGAUCUUGGAGAUUCGACAGCAGUAUGAGAUCGGACAGAAGAAAUGGAGUCUGG